GGGCUCGUAAUUUAACGGUAAAAUACCCGACUCUUCAUCGGUGAUAGUGGAGGUUCGAGUCCUUCCGGGCCCA
rnacentral:tRNA from 2 species